UACGUAGGGCGCAAGCGUUAUCCGGAAUUAUUGGGCGUAAAGAGCUCGUAGGCGGUUUGUCGCGUCUGCCGUGAAAGUCCGGGGCUCAACUCCGGAUCUGCGGUGGGUACGGGCAGACUAGAGUGAUGUAGGGGAGACUGGAAUUCCUGGUGUAGCGGUGAAAUGCGCAGAUAUCAGGAGGAACACCGAUGGCGAAGGCAGGUCUCUGGGCUAGAACUGACGCUCAUGCACGAAAGCGUGGGGAGCAAACAGG
rnacentral:rRNA from 1 species